CAUGCAAGUCGAACGGCAGCACGGGAGCAAUCCUGGUGGCGAGUGGCGAACGGGUGAGUAAUACAUCGGAACGUGCCCAAUCGUGGGGGAUAACGCAGCGAAAGCUGUGCUAAUACCGCAUAAGAUCUAAGGAUGAAAGCAGGGGACCGCAAGGCCUUGCGCGAAUGGAGCGGCCGAUGGCAGAUUAGGUAGUUGGUGGGGUAAAGGCCUACCAAGGCGACGAUCCAUAGCUGGUCUGAGAGGAUGAUCAGCCACAUUGGGACUGAGACACGGCCCAAACUCCUACGGGAGGUAGCAGUGGGGAAUAUUGGACAAUGGGCGCAAGCCUGAUCCAGCCAUGCCGCGUGAGUGAUGAAGGCCCUAGGGUUGUAAAGCUCUUUCACCGGUGAAGAUAAUGACGGUAACCGGAGAAGAAGCCCCGGCUAACUUCGUGCCAGCAGCCGCGGUAAUACGAAGGGGGCUAGCGUUGUUCGGAAUUACUGGGCGUAAAGCGCACGUAGGCGGAUAUUUAAGUCAGGGGUGAAAUCCCAGAGCUCAACUCUGGAACUGCCUUUGAUACUGGGUAUCUCGAGUAUGGAAGAGGUGAGUGGAAUUCCGAGUGUAGAGGUGAAAUUCGUAGAUAUUCGGAGGAACACCAGUGGCGAAAGCGGCUCACUGGUCCAUUACUGACGCUGA
rnacentral:rRNA from 1 species